AUUGAACGCUGGCGGCAUGCUUUACACAUGCAAGUCGAACGGUAACAGGUUAAGCUGACGAGUGGCGAACGGGUGAGUAAUGCAUCGGAACGUGCCCGGUCGUGGGGGAUAACGCAGCGAAAGCUGCGCUAAUACCGCAUACGAUCUAAGGAUGAAAGCGGGGGACCGUAAGGCCUCGCGCGAUCGGAGCGGCCGAUGUCAGAUUAGGUAGUUGGUAGGGUAAAGGCUCACCAAGCCAACGAUCUGUAGCUGGUCUGAGAGGACGACCAGCCAGACUGGGACUGAGACACGGCCCAGACUCCUACGGGAGGCAGCAGUGGGGAAUUUUGGACAAUGGGCGAAAGCCUGAUCCAGCAAUGCCGCGUGCAGGAAGAAGGCCUUCGGGUUGUAAACUGCUUUUGUACGGAGCGAAAAGGUCUCCUCUAAUACAGGGGGCUCAUGACGGUACCGUAAGAAUAAGCACUGGCUAACUACGUGCCAGCCGCCGCCGUAA
rnacentral:rRNA from 1 species